rnacentral:rRNA from 1 species
AGCGAACGCUGGCGGCGUGCCUAACACAUGCAAGUCGAGCGAGAAAGGGGUGGCAACACCCUGAGUAAAGCGGCGAACGGGUGAGUAACGCGUGGGCAAUCUACCUUCCAGUCUGGGAUAACCUUCCGAAAGGGGGGCUAAUACCGGAUGAUGUCCUGUUGGGGCAUCCUGAGGGGAGCAAAGGGGGCGACCCGCAAGGGGCUCUCGCUGGAGGAGGAGCCUGCGUCCGAUUAGCAGUUGGUGGGGUAACGGCUC